CAUGCCUACGGGGGGCAGCAGUGAGGAGUAUUGGUCAAUGAGCGGGAGCCUGAACCAGCCAAGCCGCGUGAGGGAAGAAGGUACAGCGUAUCGUAAACCUCUUUUGUCAGGGAACAAAGGCGGGGACUAGUCCCCGGAUGAGGGUACCUGAAGAAAAAGCAUCGGCUAACUCCGUGCCAGCAGCCGCGGUAAUACGGAGGAUGCGAGCGUUAUCCGGAUUUAUUGGGUUUAAAGGGUGCGCAGGCGGCCUGUUAAGUCAGCGGUAAAAUUUCGGGGCUCAACCCCGUCGUGCCGUUGGAACUGAC
rnacentral:rRNA from 1 species